UUACAACACAGUGGUUACGUGGCUUUAAGCCAUUCAUUUCCUUUUCGUUUUUUUCUUUUUGGACUUUGCUCUCAUAAAUUGGUUUAAAGACUUAGCAUUAGACACAACUCCACCGCUUGAGAAAGAUAAGCUACUAAAAUUGCAAUUUUAUCGGUUCCGCAAACUUCACGUCAAUGCGUGUGUUGUUACCAUAUUUCAUUCGGAUUCGAAUUAAUACUCUUGAUAACCCAUGGAGCUACUUCUGAGUUAGAUUACAAGUAAACUUCUGCGCCUAUAAAAAGGGAUUCAGACCUAUCCUUGUACCAUAACUCAAUUUUCAGCCUUCCACAGCUACCGUGUGCCUCGUUGGAUGCAGGAGUGAUGGUCCAUUUUUUUCUAGCGUCCUUCUCCUUCUGAAGUUGGAUGCUGCGCAAAAAAUAAGUAGCGACCUUUAAUCCUCCUGGUAUCUUGGUUGGAGAUCCCUGUUGCUGUCCGUAGUCCACCGAAGAAGAAUGUGACGCCGAUUCUGUUGGAGAUAAACGUGGCCAAUGGAAAAUUCUUGUAAAGAUUCCAAACCAAAGCUUCUCAGGAUUUUAUAAUAACAGCUUCGUAUCGCUGGUACCGUAUCUACAGAAACUUCGUGUUGUUAGCAUCGAGAACUUUCAAAGUUUUUUUUUUUAAGGCUUAUGAGAGAGUACCAGUGGUCUUCGAUAUGCCUAAGGAGAUGCACGAGAUGCCUAUAUGACUUGCAGCGAAACACUCUCUUUGUUGCGGCUUGGCGAGAGAGUCACAUGAAGUAUCCUUUCAAUCUCGACAAAAUCCCUACUCUUGAAGGCUUGGAGAGACAGUAUUUCAUCAUUGCCGAGCGAACAUGUGCCCUAUCAUAUCUUUGCAGGUUGGCGAGGAGGAUAACCGGAGUAGGCCUUCCAACUUCGGCGAGCAAGCACCUGGUGGUCUCUGCUACUUUGACUUCAUAGCAUGAAAAAAUUGUAUCUCGACCUACAAGUUUCUAAACUGCAAUCCGCUUAGCUCUACAGAAUCAAAACUUGCACCACAAUGACAUAUCCAAAAUUUAGGGCCAAAUACUAUCAGGACAAGUCGGAAUAAACUUUUGAAAGUGAUGCACAAGUCUGUCAUUUUGACUGUACAGCACUGCAUAAUGUAAUUCGAACGCAUAUAUCUCAAGCUAGGAACGUCCAAAUCACUAGCCGUCUGCGCCACUGGAAAGAAGACUCAGAGAUAAGGAAAUUUGCAAAAUAUCAUGGAAGGAUUCCUAAUGGAUUAGCCGCAGCAAUUUCCGAAAAUUAACCGGUCUGUCUGUCGAACUUGCUGUUCAGCUUUAUGCACUCUUGUGGAAAAAUUCACAUCUCGAGCUACAGGUGUCGGAAUCGCGAACCAUCUAUUCCAUUGGAAAGAAAACUACGAUUUCUGAAACACCUGAAGAUAUCAUGGACAAAAUCCUUUUAGAUUGUUUGAAACGCUAUUUUGAAUUCU